GUCUUCAAGCGGUGAAUCACUUGAAUUACCAAUCGGUGAAGAACGUGGCUAGCUACGAUAAUCGGUGUGAAUUGUGAGACACAUAGAGCACUUGAGCUUCCAACGCACAUUGCGGCUUUCUCUCCUUUGCCGGGAUUACAUCGUCUGAGAGUUG
rnacentral:rRNA from 2 species